UCAUAUACACAUGUGGGCGUAUAAUGGAACAUGCGUCCCUGCAACCAGACGAAAGAUGGAUUCCCAAUGAAACUGUUGCACAUGUGUAGACAAUGCGAUGCUGGACUGUCUG